rnacentral:rRNA from 1 species
AAUUCGCAAGAAUUGGGAGCGAACCCGCUGAAGUGAAACAUCUCAGUAAGCGGAGGAAAAGAGAACAAAUGUUUAUUCCCUUAGUAGCGGCGAGCGAAAAGGGAAGAGCCCAAACCACUUUUUCUCGCAAGAGAAAAAGNNNNNNNNNNNNNNNNNNNCGUCGGGAGCCCUGCUCUGAACCAAGAAGUUCUGGUGUUCAGAGUAGCGCUUGACCGAGGGAGUCCAAAAAACAAGGGUUGGUUAAAAGAAGCUUCCUGGAACGGAGCGCCAAAGAGGGUAAAAGCCCCGUAUUUGAAAAUUCCUUUGUGCUCCUUGCUGUUUUACUUAAGUACCUUGGGAAACGAAAGUCCCGAGGGAACCAUCCCGGACUGCCGGGAAAGGCUAAAUACUUCAUAUCACCGAUAGUGAACCAGUACCGUGAGGGAAAGGUGAAAAGCAGCCCGUUGAGGGCGGUGAAAUAGAACCUGAAACCAUUUUGCUUACAAAGAGUCGGAGUCCGCCAGCUGGCGGAUGACGGCGUGCUUUUUGCAGAACGACCCAGCGAGUUUACGUAUGGUGCAGUCUAAGCGGUUUUGCCGCGAAGGCAUAGGGCAACCAAGUGUUAAUAGCGCGACCCGCCGCAAGGCGGAUGCAUCAUUCGUAAGACCCGAAGCCAGGCGAGCUUACCAUGACCAGGGUGAAGUUCCUCGAAAGAGGGACGGAGGCCCGAACCCGUGAGCUGUUCAACACUCUGGGAUGAGUUGUGGUAAGAAGUGAAAAGCUAACCGAGCCUGGUAAUAGCUGGUUCUCCCCGAAAUAGCUUUAGGGCUAGCCUUUAUCAAACGCUUUGGAGGUAGAGCGCUGGAAAGAAUGUCCUUGACGCAAGUCAGGUAUUCUUACCAAACUUCGAAUGCCAAAGCGAAAAAGAUAGAGAGUUAGAACGCGGGGGCUAAGCUCCGCGCUCGAAAGGGAAACAGCCCAGACCUUCAUCUAAGGUCCCUAAAUUCAGCUAAGUGCAAAUCAAGGAAGUGGAGUUCCACAGAUAGCUAGGAGGUUCGCUCA